rnacentral:rRNA from 1 species
GACGAACGCUGGCGGCGCGCCUAACACAUGCAAGUCGAACGGUGAACGGGGCUUCGGCCCCGGGAUCAGUGGCGAACGGGUGCGUAACACGUGGGCAACCUGCCCCAGACCCUGGGAUAACCCCGGGAAACCGGAGCUAAUACCGGAUACUCCGGCCGAACCGCAUGGCUCGGCCGGGAAAGGUCCGCCGGUCUGGGAUGGGCCCGCGGCCUAUCAGCUUGUUGGUGGGGUAACGGCCCACCAAGGCGACGACGGGUAGCUGGUCUGAGAGGACGACCAGCCACACUGGGACUGAGAUACGGCCCAGACUCCUACGGGAGGCAGCAGUGGGGAAUCUUGCACAAUGGGCGAAAGCCUGAUGCAGCGACGCCGCGUGAGGGAUGAAGGCCCUCGGGUUGUAAACCUCUUUCGGCAGGGACGAAGCGAUCGUGACGGUACCUGCAGAGAAGCCUCGGCUAACUACGUGCCAGCCGCCGCCGUAAAAC